AUAAAGAACAAAGAAUCGAGAACGGCCAGUAAUAAGAAAUGGCUAGCGUUAGAGAACGGCUAGUGAUAAAGAGUGGCUAAUAAUAAUAAAGAAUGUCAAAGAAUAAAGAAUGACGAGUAGUAAAGAACGGCUAGUGUUAAAGAAUAACUAAUAAUGUAAAGAAUGAUUAGCGAUAAUGAAUGGCUAAGAGUAAAGAAUGGUUAAGAGUAAAGAGUAGGAUCAUUUAAU
rnacentral:lncRNA from 1 species